UACCAGCACCCCGAGUGGUCGGGACGUUUAUUGGGCCUAAAGCAUCCGUAGCCGGUUCUACAAGUCUUCCGUUAAAUCCACCUGCUUAACAGAUGGGCUGCGGAAGAUACUAUGGAGCUAGGUGGCGGGAGAGGCAAGCGGUACUCGAUGGGUAGGGGUAAAAUCCGUUGAUCCAUUGAAGACCACCAGUGGCGAAGGCGGCUUGCCAGAACGCGCUCGACGGUGAGGGAUGAAAGCUGGGGGAGCAAACCGG
rnacentral:rRNA from 1 species